rnacentral:rRNA from 1 species
AGUACUUUGAAAAGAGAGUCAAAAAGACUGCGAAACCGUUAGGAGGGAAACGAAUGCGGCUGAAGUGGUUCCCCGUCAGGCUCAGGAGACGUCGCGGCGGCCGGAGGGCGGCCCGACGACUCUGCACUUCUGCGGGGAGCCGGCCAACGGCAGUUGUUCCCGGCCCAGGAGGGCGCCGUGGGUAGGUGAUUCCGCGUUCGCGCGGGGAGCUUAUAGCCCGGCGUCUGGACGUUCCGGGGGCGACUGAGGAGAGAUGCGAGUCUCGCACGUUGCAGCGCAGGCCCCUCGCGGGCUGGACCGCCGACGCUCGGCUGGCGGCCGAGGGGGUCACUGCCUCGCCAGUGGCUCUCGACGGUUCUCGUCUGGUCGGUCGGAGGGUCGGUCGCACCUUGCGCUGCGGUCGUUGGUGCCCGAAUGGCCGCAUCCGACCCGUCUUGAAACACGGACCAAGGAGUGCAACAUGCGUGCGAGUCUCCGGGUGGCAAACCUGUGGGCGCAAUGAAAGUGAAGGCGGUGCGUCUGGCCCGCUGUGGCGAGAGCCCUCGACUCCUCGGAGGCGUGGGGCGCAUCGUCGACCGUUCCCAGGUCACGCUGUGGCGGGAUACGAGUGAGAGCGUGCCUGUUGCGACCCGAAAGAUGGUGAACUAUGCCUGAAUAGGGUGAAGCCAGAAGAAAUUCUGGUGGAAGCCCGCAGCGAUUCUGACGUGCAAAUCGAUCGUCAAAUUUGGGUAUAGGGGCGAAAGACUAAUCGAACCAUCUAGUAGCUGGUUCCCUCCGAAGUUUCCCUCAGGAUAGCUGGAGCCCGGUGCAGUUUUAUCAGGUAAAGCGAAUGAUUAGAGGUCUUGGGGCUGAAACAGCCUCAACCUAUUCUCAAACUUUAAAUGGGUAAGAAGCCUGGCUUGCUCGGUUGAAGUCGGGCGCAGAAUGCCGGGGCUCCCAGUGGGCCAUUUUUGGUAAGCAGAACUGGCGAUGUGGGAUGAACCAAAUGCCGGGUUAAGGUGCCCGAAUCGACGCUCAUCAGAUCCCAUGAAAGGUGUUGGUUGAUACUGACAGCAGGACGGUGGCCAUGGAAGUCGGAAUCCGCUAAGGAGUGUGUAACAACUCACCUGCCGAAUCAACUAGCCCUGAAAAUGGAUGGCGCUCAAGUGUCGUACCCAUACCCGGCCGUCGAGUCGAGCGGCGUGACUCGACGUGUAGGAGGGCGCGGCGGUGGCCGUGCAGCCUCUGGCGCGAGCCUGGGUGAAGCCGCCGCCGGUGCAGAUCUUGGUGGUAGUAGCAAAUAUUCAAACGAGAACUUUGAAGACUGAAGUGGAGAAGGGUUCCAUGUGAACAGCAGUUGGACAUGGGUUAGUCGAUCCUAAGAGAAGGGAGAGGUCCCUCUGGAAGGCGCAAUCGCUCCGGCGACCGCGCCGUGCCUCGAAAGGGAAUCGGGUUAACAUUCCCGAACCGGGAUGCGGAUUGGGCCCCGGUGCCCACGGCGGCAACGCAAGCGAACUCGGAGACGUCGGCGGGAGCCCCGGGAAGAGUUCUCUUUUCUUCUUAACGGACUGGCACCCUGGAAUCAGAUUGGCUGGAGAUAGGGUCGAAUGUCCGGUAAAGCACCACACUUGUGGUGGUGUCCGGUGCGCUCUCGACGGCCCGUGAAAAUCCGAGGGAGCGGAUGAUUCUCGCGCCCGGUCGUACCGAUAAC